CUCUUAGAUGUUCUGGGCCGCACGCGUGCUACACUGAACGGUUCAAUGGGUAAGGUAGUGCGAAAGCAUGACCUAAUCUCGAAAUCCGUUCGUGCUGGGGAUAGAAGCUUGCAAUUAUCCUUCUUGAACGAGGAAUACCUUGUAAGCGUGAGUCAUCAUCUCACGCUGAAUACGUCCCUGCCCUUUGUACACACCGCCCGUCGCUCCUACCGAUUGAGUGUUCCGGUGAGGCUUUGGGAGAAUGGCCUCAACAUGAGUUUAUCGUGUUUUGCCGUUUGAACUUAGUCAAACCUUAUCACUUAGAGGAAGGAGAAGUCGUAACA
rnacentral:rRNA from 1 species